UACGUAGGGUGCGAGCGUUACUCGGAAUUACUGGGCGUAAAGCGUGCGCAGGCGGCUUCGCAAGUCAGACGUGAAAUCCCCGGGCUUAACCUGGGAAUGGCGUUUGAAACUACGGAGCUGGAGUAUGGCAGAGGGGGGUAGAAUUCCACGUGUAGCAGUGAAAUGCGUAGAUAUGUGGAGGAACACCGAUGGCGAAGGCAGCCCCCUGGGAUAACACUGACGCUCAUGCACGAAAGCGUGGGGAGCAAACAGG
rnacentral:rRNA from 1 species